GACAGAGGGUGCAAGCGUUGUUCGGAAUCAUUGGGCGUAAAGCGCGCGUAGGCGGCUGUGCAAGUCGGAUGUGAAAGCCCAGGGCUCAACCUUGGAAGUGCAUCCGAAACUGCAUAGCUUGAGUUCCGGAGAGGGUGGUGGAAUUCCCAGUGUAGAGGUGAAAUUCGUAGAUAUUGGGAGGAACACCAGUGGCGAAGGCGACCACCUGGACGGUGACUGACGCUGAGGCGCGAAAGCGUGGGUAGCAAACAGG
rnacentral:misc_RNA from 1 species